AACGCACAUUGCACUCUCUGGUAUUCCGGAGAGUAUGCUUGUUUGAGUAUCUGUAAACAUCUCAAAUCUCUCGACUUUCGAGUUUGAGAGAAUUGGACUUGAGCAAUCCCAACUCCUUCGUCAGAAAGAGGAGGGUUGCUUGAAAUGCAGGUGCAGCUGGGCAUUCUUCUGAGCUAAAAGCAUAUUUAUUUAGUCCCGUCAAACGGAUUAUUAUUCUUGCUUCAGCUUACAUAAAGGUUGAAUGACUACCGAGGCUAAUUGCAGGUAAACUCGUUCCGUUAAAAAGAACUUGUGGACUCGAUCUCAAAUCAAGUAAGACUACCCGCUGAACUUAA
rnacentral:misc_RNA from 1 species